rnacentral:piRNA from 1 species
UCCUGUGAUACAAUUUCCAUGGGCCGUUUAGU